AGAGGAAAAAUCUGAGGUUGUGUAAACACAGUUUAAUCUCACAUAUAAAAGGCCAAGCUCAUUUUGAGCCAGAUCCGUCUUAAGCUGCACCAUUUCUUUUCUUACUGAUGGCUGUCUCCUUUCCAAACGCACAAAAUCAAGGGCUCGGUGUGGGUAAGAGACAUAAAUGAUAAGAUUUUUGGGGUUUCCUGUUGUGGAGUCCCCAAAGAAAAGAUACAUGAAUAGGUUCAGCAUUGGCCUUUUCUGGAAGACUGUUUUGUGUCGACCGUGCAGGCAGGAAAACACCCCCAGGCUUGGCAUAACCGGUAGCAGAGCUGGUAAAAGCAUUCAGGCUUUACGGCUUCAUUGUUUGUGUUUCCAGAAGAAAGAAGAGCCUCCUUAGUGGUCAGCCACAGCGAUGGACAUUGAGGGUUUUAGCUAGACUAUUGUGAACUGCCGCACUCGUUUUAACCUGUU
rnacentral:lncRNA from 1 species